GGUGCGGCUUGGAGGGCAGGGCCCAAGGGCUCCUCCCCUCGAGGGAGCGCCCUUCACCGCCCCUUUCCCCUUGUCCUGCAGUGAUCUCAUGAUGACGCCAUUGUUGGUUGUUAUUGCAUCACACUCGAGAACACCCAGAGGAGCAAAACAUCAAGCUAUUUAGCCCGGCCACAGAAGCCCUGGGUUCGGCACAGCAACAUCCAGCAAAUCGUCACGCGUUUGCAGGUCCUACAUCAAGGGCAAGACAGUGGUAUUAGGGAUAAGGGAAACUGACUAGCAAGCAUCUUGGUUGGGGGGUAUAGUGAAAAGAGUAUUGGGGUUAUAAUCAGAAGACCUAGACCCAUGGGGCGCCUGGCUGGCUCAGUCAGUGGAACGUGCGGUGCUUGAUCUCAGGGCCGUGAGUUCGAGCCCCAUGUUGGGUGUAGAGAUUACUUAAAAAUAAAAACUUGAAAAAAGAAGGAGACCUAGACCCACAGAUUUGUUUCACCUCACACUGGCCUCUCAGAGCUUCGAUUUCCUUUCCUGCACCCCUGGGGCCUGUCAU